rnacentral:rRNA from 1 species
CCAAGGAGUCUAACAUGUGCGCAAGUCAUGGGGUUUUACGAAACCUAAAGGCGCAAUGAAAGUGAAGGCAGCCUCGGGUUUGCCUAGGUAGGAUCCUUUCCUCCGGGGAGAGGCGCACUACCGGCCCGUCUCGUCCGCAUUGUCGGUGAGGCGGAGCAAGAGCGUACACGUUGGGACCCGAAAGAUGGUGAACUAUGCCUGAGUAGGACGAAGCCAGAGGAAACUCUGGUGGAGGUCCGUAGCGAUUCUGACGUGCAAAUCGAUCGUCAAACUUGGGUAUAGGGGCGAAAGACUAAUCGAACCAUCUA